rnacentral:rRNA from 1 species
UAGGGAAUCUUCCACAAUGGACGCAAGUCUGAUGGAGCAACGCCGCGUGAGUGAAGAAGGCUUUCGGGUCGUAAAACUCUGUUAUUGAAGAAGAACGUGUGUGACAGUAACUGGUCAUGCAGUGACGGUAUUCAAUCAGGAAGUCACGGCUAACUACGUGCCAGCAGCCGCGGUAAUACGUAGGUGGCAAGCGUUGUCCGGACUUAUUGGGCGUAAAGCGAGUGCAGGCGGUCUUUUAAGUCUGAUGUGAAAGCCUUCGGCUUAACC